UACGAAGGGUGCAAGCGUUACUCGGAAUUACUGGGCGUAAAGCGUGCGUAGGUGGUUCGUUAAGUCUGAUGUGAAAGCCCUGGGCUCAACCUGGGAACUGCAUUGGAUACUGGCGAUCUGGAGUGCGGUAGAGGGUGGCGGAAUUCCCGGUGUAGCAGUGAAAUGUGUAGAUAUCGGGAGGAACAUCCGUGGCGAAGGCGGCCACCUGGACCAGCACUGACACUGAGGCACGAAAGCGUGGGGAGCAAACAGG
rnacentral:rRNA from 1 species